rnacentral:lncRNA from 1 species
GUUGAUAGUAUGGGAUGUUGAUAAAUGAUACUUUUUUAAGGUGUCACUUCUAAGACUCAUUUUCGUUGUCAACAUAGAGAUUUGGAAUAAAACUUGCUUAUGAAAUUUAUAUUAUUACAAAACUGGAUCCUAAAUUAGAUGAUGGCUAACGGCAAAGUCAGGACCUUUGGUACUAAGAUCAGAAUUUUUUAUUGUUGUGGUUGAAAAUUUGAUCCUCACAAUAGCUUUUUGACAGCUGGGUGCAGUGGUUCAUGCCUGAAAUGCCAGCCUCUUGGGAGGUUGAGGCAAUAGGAUCACAAGUUCAAAGCCUUAGCAACUUAGUGAGAGGCCCUAAGCAACUUAGUAAGACCCUAUCUCAAAAUUAAAAAAAAUAAAAAGAGCUGGGGGUGUGGCUCAAUGGUAAAAUGCCCCUGGGUUCAAUUCUUGGUACAAAAAAAAAAAAAAAGACCUGGAAUAGUAGCUCAGAAAGAGAUUGCCUGCCUAGCAUGAGUUGGGAGGCCCUGGGUUCAAUCCCCAGUACCAUCUAUAAGAAAAAAAUAGAAGUUAAAAAGAUAAAAACAAUAGUUUUAUUUUUAAAUUUUUUGGUGUUUGUUCAUUUUAGGUGAAUACUACAGUAGAGUAUAUUUUGACAUAUUAUAUGUACACAGAGUAUAACUUAUUCUAAUUACAAUCCCAUUCUUGCAGUUGUACCUGAUGUGCAGUUUAAAACAAUAGCUUGUGGACUUAGGAAAUAGAUAUGGGAAUUUAACAGUGUUUACUUCAAGAUUACCUAGAUAAUAUAUUUCUUCUCUAGAACUUUGACUUAAAAUCCUGUACUUUUCAUACUACUCCCAAGUUUCUUGCUCAAGGUGGGAACAUUUAAUGGGAAAAAAAAUGUAAGUAUAAAUAUCUAAGUCAGUAUAGAUUUAAUUUUACCCAUCAACAGUGCACUCAUGCUGCUUGAAAAGGAAAGUCAGUGCUAAUGAGUGCUAGUACAAAUGGGUGAUGUAGGCUUCUUCACUCACAUGUCUGUGUCCAGUCAGCAGUCAAAGACUUGGAAUAUCAAGGUCUAAGUAGGCUGGAUACUCAGGUGGUUGAGUCUACAGAGCAUAGAGCAUCUGAGAAUUUAAACUGGAACUUUGGAGGAGCAUGGCCAUACAGAGGGCAGGUUGUGAUUAGGUGGUCCAAAAAACAUCUGACAGCUAAUUGGAAUGCUUUCCUGCAGUAUGUAGCUUGGACUUCACAGGGUGGUGAAUUCAGUGCAAAAUAGGACUUUUUUUAUAUUUAUUUUUUAGUUGUAGUUGAACACAAUAUCUUUAUUUUAUUUAUUUAUUUUAUGUGGUGCUGAGGAUUGAACCCAGGGUCUCGCACUUGCUAGGCAAGCACUCUACCGCUGAGCCACACCCCCAGCCCUGCAAUAGGACUUUUUACAGAGCAGUUUAUAACUCCAAGAGCAAGUUUUCUAGCAUACAAUCUGAAAGAAACAUGGCCUUUAAACACUUACCUUUGUCACAUAGCAUCACUUCUACUAGAAUCUGGUGUUAGAGCAAUCACAAGCUUAUCAAAUUGAAGGAUAGGGAAUAGUGAUUCUUUUCUCUGCCCAACACCUCUUGAUGACAAGAGUUUCAGAGAAUCUGUGUCCAUGUUUCAAAACCACCGUAGCCUUAGAACAUUUGUAAUUGAAAUGUUGUUCUUCCAGAUAUUAUUUAACUUCACUGCUAAUUAUAUAAACGAAUGGUAAGAAUAGUAAUCAGUCCUGAGUUUGCUUUGACAUUUGGGGGAGAGGCAAAACCAUUGGGGUGUUAAUGGGAAGAAAAACUUGUUUCCCAUGUAUUUCACCCUGAGGAACAAAUUAAGAUUUCCAGGAACACUAGAAUCUGAGCAGAACAAAGAUUAAGUAAGUCCUAAUUGCUAAAAAUAAGUACAGUGUAUUAGAAGAAUUUUUCAUAAGCACAAUAAACAAUCACAUAACUGUCCAAUUCAUUUUUUUCAUUACAGUGUUAUAUUCUACAAGUUAUAUUCUAUCUCAGGAUAAAUCUUUUUAAGACAGAAGAUUAAUCAAAUGUUAUUUUACAUUACCCAAAUAAUAAUGUAAUUAUUACCCAUCUAUUUGUGCUUUACAAAAUUAUUUUUGAUAAUCUCAAACCUGAUCAAAUUUGGAUCCAGAGUUAUUAGGACACUUAAGUUAUACUUUACAACAUGAAUAUUAUAUUGGAAAAAUAUAGUGAAUGAAAUUUGUAGACUAGAAAAGUUUAUAAAGUUUGGUAAAUUUCUGUACUUGAACUAAAAUUUCCUUACUUGGGAAUAUUUUCCCUUUUCUGCUCACAUGCAAUUCAGUUUUAAGCAGUGUUAGAGUAUCUUUAAUACAUUUUAACACAUUUUCAGUGUUUUCAUGGAACAUGACUAGAUCUAGGAUAUAGAUCCUUUUGUUAUCUUGACAUUGAUUUCUUUACUUUUUUAUUUUUAUUUUUUAUUUUUGGUUGAACACAGCACCUUUAUUCCAUUCAUUUUUAAUUUUAUGUGGUUCUAAAGCUUGAAUCCAGGGCUCCAUGCAUGCUAGGUGAGCGCUCUACCGCUGAGCCACAGCCCCAGCCCCGACAUAUUGAUUUCUUGCAACUAAAAUUAGCAGGUUUUCUAGAAUGAAGACAUUCAAAGAUUAGUUAGUAGUAUCUCUUUCUAAGGCUUGUGCAUGUUAACUUUGACAUUUUAUAAAUUAUGAGUCUUUAUAAAGGUUUAUAAAAGCUAAUACUCUUAAAAGAGUCUUUAGGUGUGACAAAAUAGCUCAGUAGGCUAAUAAUAAUGCAAUACUGCAUGCUAAGAACAAAGCACUGUUCAUAAGAGCUUUGUAUUGAAUCUUCACAAGUUUAUGAGUAGCUAUUAUUAUCUGAACAUUAGAGAUGAGAAAUUUGAGGCUUAGAGAGGUUUAAAAACUUGCUCAAGGGCACUUAGUAAGUGGCAGAGCCUGGAUAUGAGUCUAAAUAAUCUGGCUCCAGAGUCUAUGCUCUUAACCUGUGCACUCUUUGAUUAGUUGUAAGAAGAAAAGAAAAAAAAA